rnacentral:rRNA from 1 species
CCUACGGGGGGCUGCAGUGGGGAAUAUUGGACAAUGGGGGGAACCCUGAUCCAGCCAUGCCGCGUGUGUGAAGAAGGCCCUCGGGUUGUAAAGCACUUUCAGUGAGGAAGAACGCCUGGUGGUUAAUACCCAUCAGGAAAGACAUCACUCACAGAAGAAGCACCGGCUAACUCCGUGCCAGCAGCCGCGGUAAUACGGAGGGUGCGAGCGGUAAUCGGAAUUACUGGGCGUAAAGCGCGCGUAGGUGGCUUGAUAAGCCGGUUGUGAAAGCCCCGGGCUCAACCUGGGAACGGCAUCCGGAACUGUCAAGCUAGAGUGCAGGAGAGGAAGGUAGAAUUCCCGGUGUAGCGGUGAAAUGCGUAGAGAUCGGGAGGAAUACCAGUGGCGAAGGCGGCCUUCGGGACUGACACUGACACUGAGGUGCGAAAGCGUGGGUAGCAAACAGGAUUAGAUACCCUAGUAGUC